AAAACUACGCACUAGCGGCCUAAAUCCCGCUUACACUGAGCACCAGAUGCCUGUAAAUGGUUGCAAAGUGGCACGCAGAACAGGAUCGUGUGGCACCCUCUCUCGGGGGUAAAGCAUUAAAACUUAAUCGAGAUCGCCCUAGGCACCCUGACUUUCGGGUCGCUGCGGGUUAAAUUAAUAGAAAGAGCUAAACAUGUAGAGCCAAUGGCAGAGGACUGACGGACGGGGGUUCGACUCCCCCCAUCUCCACCA
rnacentral:tmRNA from 1 species